rnacentral:rRNA from 1 species
GUAGUUGAACCUUGGGCCUGGCUGGCCGGUCCGCCUCACCGCGUGUACUGGUCCGGCCGGGCCUUUCCCUCUGUGGAACCCCAUGCCCUUCACUGGGUGUGGCGGGGAAACAGGACUUUUACUGUGAAAAAAUUAGAGUGCUCCAGGCAGGCCUAUGCUCGAAUACAUUAGCAUGGAAUAAUAGAAUAGGACGUGUGGUUCUAUUUUGUUGGUUUCUAGGACCGCCGUAAUGAUUAAUAGGGACAGUCGGGGGCAUCAGUAUUCAAUUGUCAGAGGUGAAAUUCUUGGAUUUAUUGAAGACUAACUACUGCGAAAGCAUUUGCCAAGGAUGUUUUCAUUAAUCAGGAACGAAAGUUAGGGGAUCGAAGACGAUCAGAUACCGUCGUAGUCUUAACCAUAAACUAUGCCGACUAGGGAUCGGACGGUGUUAUUUUUUGACCCGUUCGGCACCUUACGAGAAAUCAAAGUGCUUGGGCUCCAGGGGGAGUAUGGUCGCAAGGCUGAAACUUAAAGAAAUUGACGGAAGGGCACCACCAGGGGUGGAGCCUGCGGCUUAAUUUGACUCAACACGGGGAAACUCACCAGGUCCAGACACAAUAAG